rnacentral:sRNA from 1 species
CUGUGGUUAUAAGCCGGAAGUAAACUUGGGUGUCUUCUUCAGUCAGACUCCACCAUAUAUCUUGAGACAGAUUGUUUCACUGAAACUGGAUCAUACCAGUUUUGUCUACUACAACACUGGUUGGCCAGAUUGUUGACAGUGACUGAAGACAUACAAUGAAGAAAAGACAUUAUCAUCAACAAAUGGGCUAAUGUGUUCAACAGAACAUAGGUGGCUAAGAGAAUCAAAAUACAUCUUUAGAAUUCAAACUACCAUCACCAUGGCUUGUGCGAUGAAUGCACUCAGGACUGACUUUUCAUUAUUAUCCCUUCAAAUCUCGACAAGACCUUAAAUGAUAGGUCAGAAGGCAUGGUUUACAAACACUCUACUCUUCCUAAACUUCAGGUACAAAAUGAAGAAGUAGGCAAGCUUUUCAGAUGAUUGAAUAUUGGAAGGAGCCUGUUGAAGUCAGAAAGCACAUGCACUUAAGCACCAGUGUUGGUAAUUCAGUCUCAAGGCAAAACAAGCACUUAACUCAUCCCAUGUCUCCUCCCCCUGUCUCCAAGAGGAUGCUCAUGGGAUGAACUGUGGGGUGGAGGGAAUGGGACAGUGACAACAUCUGGACUUUAAAAAAUAAAAGUAAUAAGGAAAUAGAACUCAUAAUUUUUUAUUUUCUAUUCUAAAUAGGCUAUUUUUAGAUCAAUUUUGUGGCUUAAAUGGAAUAAGAAAUGACUAAUUAGAUAACUGUA